rnacentral:piRNA from 1 species
CUCACUGCUUAUAACUUCCCUUAGAGGGUAUU